rnacentral:rRNA from 1 species
GAUAGGUUAAGUUAAUAAGGGCGCAUGGUGGAUGCCUUGGCACUAGAAGGCGAUGAAGGACGUGACUAACUACGAUAUGCCUCGGUUAGCUGUAAGUAAGCUUACCCGGGGGUUUCCGAAUGGGGCAACCCGAUCUUAAUGAUCAUCAUCUUUUUGAAUUCAUAGAUUAGAUGAAGCAAACGCUGUGAACUGAAACAUCUAAGUAGCAGUAGGAAAGUAAAGAAAUUUCGAUUCCGUCAGUAGCGGCGAGCGAACGCGGAAGAGCCCAAACCUGGAUGCUUGCAUCCAGGGGUUGUAGGACUGAUGUUGAGUUACAAAGGUAUAAGAUAGCAGAAACAGUUGGGAAGCUGUUCCAAAGAGGGUGACAGGCCCGUAUGCGAAAUCUUGUACUCUCUAAUCAGGAUCCUGAGUACGGCCCAGCACGUGAAAUUGGGUCGGAAUCUGGGAGGACCAUCUCCCAAGGCUAAAUACUAACUAGUGACCGAUAGCGAACAAGUACCGUGAGGGAAAGGUGAAAAGAACCCCGGAAGGGGAGUGAAAUAGUUCUUGAAACCGUGUGCUUACAAGAAGUUCGAGGCCGUUAAUGGCUGAGAGCGUGCUUUUUGUAGAAUGAACCGGAGAGUUACGAUUGCGUGCAAGGUUAAGGUGCAAAGACUGGAGCCGUAGCGAAAGCGAGUCUUAAUAGGGCGAAUCAGUACGUAGUUGU